GUAGGUGGCAAGCGUUGUCCGGAAUUAUUGGGCGUAAAGCGCGCGCAGGUGGUUCUUUAAGUCUGAUGUGAAAGCCCCCGGCUCAACCGGGGAGGGUCAUUGGAAACUGGGGAACUUGAGUGCAGGAGAGGAAAGUGGAAUUCCACGUGUAGCGGUGAAAUGCGUAGAUAUGUGGAGGAACACCAGUGGCGAAGGCGACUUUCUGGCCUGUAACUGUCACUGAGGCGCGAAAGCGUGGGGAGCAAACAGGGAUUAGAUACCCUGGUAGUCCACGCCGUAAGCGAUGAGUGCUAAGUGUUGGGGGGGGUUCCGCCCCCGUCAGUGCUGCAGCUAACGCAUUAAGCACUCCGCCUGGGAGUACGGUCGCAAGACUG
rnacentral:rRNA from 1 species